UACGUAGGGUGCAAGCGUUAAUCGGAAUUAUUGGGCGUAAAGCGCGCGUAGGCGGUUACUUAUGUCGGAUGUGAAAGCCCUCGGCUUAACUGAGGAAGUGCAUUCGAAACUGGGUAGCUAGAGUACUAAAGAGGGUCGCGGAAUUCCCGGUGUAGAGGUGAAAUUCGUAGAUAUCGGGAGGAACACCGGUGGCGAAGGCGGCGACCUGGGUAGAUACUGACGCUGAGGCGCGAAAGCGUGGGGAGCAAACAGG
rnacentral:rRNA from 1 species